ACCACCGCGAGCUCCUCACCUAGAUCCACAGAGCUUCUGCGGGCGCAGGGGAGACCAGCGCCGCACGGAUAUUCGAGGGGCGGCAAAGGAGCACCGUUCGGGUAGCUGGGCCUCUUCCACGAUGCACCGGCCGGUGAGCUCAGCUCCUCCGCUGAUGGGUCUUGGCAGGCGCCAUCCCGUGGCUCGGGUCGCGGCUCGAGUGGGGAUGCACGAGGAGGACGGACCUUGUGGCCCGAACGGCGGCGAUAGGGCGGGGCAGGGACACGGGAAGAGGCCAGUCGAUCAGGCUGGGAAAGGUGAAAAGCUGACAUGAAUGGCGUAUAAGGUUUUGGGCUUGAGAAGGAAUAGGAUCCUGACCUUGAUACGGUACGAGGGCCGACACAGAAGAUUGCUGCAGCAGGAUGGCGCCACAACUAGCGAAGGGGUGAGACAUGGCAGGCAUUGGAACUUCGAUAAACCGAUGAAGGGGAAGUGUGGUGACUGGUGAGGCAACCAAGGUGUAUCUCGGUCAGUCCGGUGGUAGUUUCGAAGAUACCCCUUCACUGGCUGCGGCAUGGCAAAUAGAAGAGUGGUGUCGACGACUCAGAGGAAUGGAAAAAUAUUCAGAGGAAUGGCUAAUGCAGGUGGUGUUGUAUUCACUGAAUCAGACAAACCAGAUGGGGAGAGGCCUGUAAGCAUUUGAUUUCAAUCGCUCUUCCAUUUAGCUCUCCUUUCUUCAGUUAAUUGAGUAUAAUCUUGAGCUGGUGGUACUGAUAGUUGUUGUAGGUUUGAUGAUUCUGUUUGUGGUGUUGAUAUGGUGUGUCUCUGUUCUCUUUGGGACCCGUUCCAAUGUAGCAUGAUACUGAGAUGAAAUAGAAGUGAAAUGCAGUUCGUUAUCCUAA